rnacentral:lncRNA from 1 species
CAACAAAGAGAUAGAGUCAAGGAACUUUCAUGCAGAGAACAAAUUGAAAGGUAAACAGAGAGCAUCUGGUUGACUGGGGUGAGAGGGAAGCACAGCCAGCAGGAGGCUACAAUAAGGACCUUUGAAAGCCUCCAUUUGAAGUUCAAUGAUGUCUGAACUUCCCCUACUCUGAACAGACAUCCAGAAAAGAAAAAAGUCAUCUUGGCCAUUGUGAUCCUGCUUUUCUUUUUGACUUGAGAGAUAAGACUCUGCAGAAGGCUGUCAUGUGAUUGAAUUUAAGAAGACAUGCAACAUAGAAGUGCCUGACACUUAGCUUUUGGCUGAAACUAUUCUCUCUGAAUGGACUGACCCUGGAUUGGACUCGUCUGAAUCAUCUCCCUAAGCCAGGAGCUUUAGGGAAUAUUAAAGUUCUCCUUCUGAGUCCAGGCAAAGAUACACAGAACUCCUGCCCCAACUAUCUAUAGUAUCCAUAGGUAAGCUAAGCUUAU